rnacentral:misc_RNA from 1 species
AACGCACAUUGCGCCCGCCAGUAUUCUGGCGGGCAUGCCUGUUCGAGCGUCAUUACAACCCUCGGGCUUCUGCCUGGUGUUGGGGCCCUGCGGCUGCCGCAGGCCCUGAAAAGUAGUGGCGGACCCGCCUGGGCUUCGAGCGCAGUAUCUCAAACCUCGCUCGGCGUACCGGGGCGCUCCGGCCGUUAAAAACCCCUACGGUUUUACAAGGUUGACCUCGGAUCAGGUAGGAAUACCCGCUGAACUUAA